rnacentral:rRNA from 1 species
CUUAACACAUGCAAGUCGAGCGGUAACAGGCGUAGCAAUACGUGCUGACGAGCGGCGAACGGGUGCGUAAUACAUGGGAAUCUGCCUAGUAGUGGGGAAUAACCCGGCGAAAGCCGGGCUAAUGCCGCAUACGAUCCACGGAUGAAAGCGGGGGACCUUCGGGCCUCGCGCUAUUAGAUGAGCCCAUGCCGGAUUAGCUAGUUGGUGAGGUAACGGCUCACCAAGGCGACGAUCCGUAGCUGGUCUGAGAGGACGGCCAGCCACACUGGGACUGAGACACGGCCCAGACUCCUACGGGAGGCAGCAGUGGGGAAUAUUGGACAAUGGGGGCAACCCUGAUCCAGCGACGCCGCGUGUGUGAAGAAGGCCUGCGGGUUGUAAAGCACUUUCGGUGGGAACGAAAUAUGCCGGGCUAAUACCCCGGUAGGCUGACGUACUCAAGAAGAAGCCC